AUUAGUGGCGAACGGGUGAGUAACACGUGAGUAACCUGCCCUUGACUCUGGGAUAAGCGCUAGAAAUGGCGUCUAAUACCGGAUACGAGCUUCAGCCGCAUGGCUAGGAGUUGGAAAGAAUUUUGGUCAAGGAUGGACUCGCGGCCUAUCAGCUAGUUGGUGAGGUAAUGGCUCACCAAGGCGACGACGGGUAGCCGGCCUGAGAGGGUGACCGGCCACACUGGGACUGAGACACGGCCCAGACUCCUACGGGAGGCAGCAGUGGGGAAUAUUGCACAAUGGGCGAAAGCCUGAUGCAGCAACGCCGCGUGAGGGAUGACGGCCUUCGGGUUGUAAACCUCUUUUAGUAGGGAAGAAGCGAAAGUGACGGUACCUGCAGAAAAAGCACCGGCUAACUACGUGCCAGCAGCCGCGGUAAUACGUAGGGUGCAAGCGUUGUCCGGAAUUAUUGGGCGUAAAGAGCUCGUAGGCGGUUUGUCGCGUCUGCUGUGAAAUCUGGGGGCUCAACCCCCAGCCUGCAGUGGGUACGGGCAGACUAGAGUGCGGUAGGGGAGAUUGGAAUUCCUGGUGUAGCGGUGGAAUGCGCAGAUAUCAGGAGGAACACCGAUGGCGAAGGCAGAUCUCUGGGCCGUAACUGACGCUGAGGAGCGAAAGCAUGGGGAGCGAACAGGAUUAGAUACCCUGGUAGUCCAUGCCGUAAACGUUGGGAACUAGAUGUGGGGGCCAUUCCACGGUCUCCGUGUCGCAGCUAACGCAUUAAGUUCCCC
rnacentral:rRNA from 1 species